UCCUCAUUUGCCUGGUGAAUGUUAACAGUCUCAAAGAUUAAACCACACAUGUCUAAGUAUGGUAGAGUGAAGCUUCCAAUGAACAUUAAAUAAGUUAUGAUUCCUUUCAUAACUCAACCCUGUCAUAUUUUGAUGAUAACUUGUAAUUCUAGAGCUAGUAGAUACAGGCGGGUGCUGAUCCUCUUAAGGGAGGAUGCAUGCAUUUUUCAGAUCAAAACCAACACUCUCCCCCUCCCCCUUGGCCCUGUCAGGUGGGUGGGUGCCAGUGGCUUUGGUGACUCUAGACAAACUUGGGCUGAUCACACACCCCCUGUGGUUUGGAUGACCCAUUAAAAGUCUCCCCUAUCAAUUUUUAUGGUAGUUACUCUUUCUCACAUGGUGACCACAGACAAUGGGCAAUCCAGAAAGGGAGACUUAGAAAUGGCUACAUCAUCCAAGGAAGGCAGCAGGUGUGCAAAUUCACCACUACUCACUGAGAAAGGUAGUGAUAUAAUAUAAAAGCACAGGACUUUUUUGAAGCUAUGUAACUGAAAUGAAUCCACAUUAAAUUCUCAAGGGUCCAUUGAGGGUAAGUCUGGUUCCAGCAGCCAUGGUUAUUCCAGCUCCAAAAGUGUAUAUUAUAAGUUGCUGCCAUUAUGAAGACAUAGUUGGGUGUGGAUGGGUGGCCUGCCAUGAGGUGAGCCACUGCCUAUCCCUUCCCCUUGCCUCAUGGCAUGCCCUUGAUGCUCUUAGUUGAGUGUCCCAUGGGGCUUGUAGCAUUUACUUUGAAAAAUAUUGUGUUUAAAGUAGGCUUAAGCCACCUGGAUCUGAAUCUAGGAAUGAAGAAAUAGGACCACUGUUCUAUUUUUUUUUAAACUAAAACCAUGUUUAAGAGGGAUGAUUGGGACAUUUACAUUGUGUCACUAGAGGUGAGAUUUUUGGACCAGUGAAGGAUGAACCAUAGUGAAAGCAUUUACCAAGAAUUUUCAUUAAUCAAAAAUGAAAUUUGGAUGUUUGAAGAGGAUCAAAUAUCGUCUGACUGUAAACAAUGACAACUAGCAAUAUGGCAGUGUCUUUCUAAUGACCUGCUGGGAAACCAGUCUUUGGGUUCCAGGGGAAGCAUGGUUGCAAAACUGAAACUUAAAUGAAAUGAUGGAAGUGCACCACCAGGACUGGGACAUAUGGCUUAAUUUGACUCAAUAUGAGGAACCUCACUCUGCCCAGAAACAGACAAGUUUGACAGAUUGAUAGCUCUUUCUUGAUUCUGUGGGAGGUGGUGCAUAGCCCUCCUUAGCUGGUGGAGUGAUUCAUUAGGUUAAUUCUGAUAACAAACAAGACUUUGGCAUGCUAACUAGUUAUGUGACCCCUGGGUGUCCUUCAACUUCUUAGAGGGACAAGUGGUCUUCAGCCACCUGAGAUGGAGGAAUAACAGGUCUAUGAUGCCCUUAGAUGUCCAGGGUUCAUGAAUUACAUCAACCAGCCUACUGCAUGCCUACCCCACACUGACAGGUGCUGGUAACCCAUCAAACUGCAUUUAUUAUGGAGAUUGGAGAUUGCAAUCACUUCCACAAAGGAAGAAUUCCCAGUAAGUGCAGGUCAUAAGCUUGUGUCAAGUACCUGCCCCUUGUACACAUCACCCAUGGCUGCUACUGAUUGGAUGGUUUAGUGAGGCUCUUGGAUUGGCCUUGCUGGGGUUGGCAUAUGGACCUGGAAGAACACUGAGAAGAUAGUCAAAGUUGACUAGAGGAAGUUAAAGUUUUAACAAGGUUUCCCUAGGUGAACUUGCAAAGAGAUCAUAA
rfam:Sus scrofa breed Duroc isolate TJ Tabasco Contig2507_1, whole genome shotgun sequence.